AAUCAUAAGAAAAUCCAAGCUACUAAUUGAGAUUAUGUGUUGCAAGCCUCAAAUAUAACGUUUGUAUUUUCUCAUCUAAACGACGCCUCAUGACCUUCUUACUUUUCUUCUUAAAAUUCAUCAAGACUCCUUCACCUAUGUCAAAUCUAUUAAAGACCGUCAAAUCUAUGGUAAUCAUCGGUUAAAUUUUAGGGUUAAUCCUCCAGCUUCCUCCUGCGCAAACGAGAAUGGCUCUGCAAAAGCUACAAAAGAAUGUUCUAGCAGAACCCUAGGGCUUACGGAUCUGUGAUCGGCGUCCAGAGAGACCAUACGGUAAUGAUUUUCAACAACUUCGACCUUCUUAACGAUCCUUCGACUCAAAGACAUCCUCCAUGGAUCCUUUCUCCAGAAGAUGAAAGAGCAUAAGUUUACUCUCUUCCUUUUUUUGUUCUGUUUUAUUCAUGGGUUUUCAUUAAAAUUAUUCAGGUUUUCUUACUUAUCAAAUAAGAAGGUAUCCCCUACUUCUACAUGUUGGGAUGUUACUCUUUGUGAAUCUGAUUUGCAUAUCCACAGAGUCGUGAGUCCAUGCCUUCUAACUCUAUCACUGAUAUGUAUGCUUCAGAUUUUGUCUCACUGUACUAAAAAGUGAGGUGAUAUCAAUGAAAUUUAUGUUUAUGUCCUUAUAAAUCCAGUGAUCAAUCAUGCACAAAAAAAAUCUCCCGGUCACUAUUUGUGAAAAUGGUAUGUUUUUAAUUAGUCUUCUUUCUUUUACAGGUCUUAAUUGUAUCUGAUCUCCCUAUUUGAAGAAUUCCAUGUCCUUGAUGGAAUCUUGCAACUGAUUUGCGUUCAUAUAUAUAAGAUACAAAACAAAAACAAGACGAUUGAAGCUGAACGGAAUCAAUGGAAUCAAUCGAUUAUGUUUCACAUCUCAAACCAUAGGGGAAAUAACAGUAGCCACUCAGUGUGAGCCUUAUGUCCCUCAUACUUAUUGUCUAUGUUGCAAUAAAGAAAAAAAAAGAAAGAAAAAAAGAAGUGUCAAAAGAUGACCAUGUUGCAAAGGAUCUUGAUCGGCUAAGAUGGAAACUCUGAAGACAUUGGAAUCCAUUUUCAAGCAGCCACCUUCCACUAACGCUUAGAUAAAAAAAAAAUUAUUAAUCAAUUCCUUAUCUACUAGAUCAAAAGGCGUACUCAACCGCAUCUUAUUACCUAUGUAAACAAUAUCCUUCAGAAUUGACUUUUUUAAGCUAAUCUAAUAAAGUUGUUGACAAAAAAAAAAAAAAAAAUUCAAAAGUAAAACAACAAAACUGAAUCAUAUCAAUUCUUAUAUCUGAAAUUUCUGUUGAAUCACAACGUCUUAGAACUUAAUGAAGAGACAUAUCAUAGGGUGAGGAUUA